rnacentral:rRNA from 1 species
GGGGAAACUCGAGCUAAUACCGCAUAUUUCCUACGGGAGAAAGACUUCGGUCGCUAUUGGAUGAGCCUAUGUCAGAUUAGCUUGUUGGUAGGGUAAUGGCCUACCAAGGCGACGAUCUGUAGCUGGUCUGAGAGGAUGAUCAGCCACACUGGGACUGAGACACGGCCCAGACUCCUACGGGAGGCAGCAGUGGGGAAUAUUGGACAAUGGGCGAAAGCCUGAUCCAGCAAUGCAGCGUGUGUGAAGAAGGCCUGAGGGUUGUAAAGCACUUUCAGUAGGGAAGAUAAUGACGGUACCUACAGAAGA